CCCUUAGAUGUUCUGGGCUGCACGCGCGCUACACUGAUGCGAUCAACAAGUUUUUCCUAUGUCGAUAGACACGGGUAAUCUUUUGAACUCGUAUCGUGAUGGGGAUAGAUUAUUGUAAUUAUUAAUCUUCAACGAGGAAUUCCUAGUAGGUGCAAAUCAUCAGUUUGCAUCGAUUACGUCCCUGCCCUUUGUACACACCGCCCGUCGCUGCUACCGAUUGGUUGAUCUGGUGAAUUAUUCGGACUGCCGGCUGAAGGGGUUUCCUCAUCUGCCAGCGGAAAGUCUUGUUAACCCUAUCAACUAGAGGAAGCAGAAGUCGUAACA
rnacentral:rRNA from 1 species